rnacentral:rRNA from 1 species
UAGAGUAAUGCGUGACCAACCUGCCCCAUGCUCCAGAUAGCUCUUGGAAACGGGUGGUAAUGCUGGAUGCUCCAACUUGACGCAUGUCUUGUUGGGAAAGUGUUUAGUGGCAUGGGAUGGGGUCGCGUCCUAUCAGCUUGUAGGCGGGGUAAUGGCCCACCUAGGCUUCGACGGGUAGCCGGCCUGAGAGGGCGGACGGCCACAUUGGACUGAGAUACGGCCCAGACUCCUACGGGAGGCAGCAGGC